rnacentral:lncRNA from 1 species
UCAUAGCAGCAUUGCACAAAGGUGCAAUAAUUUUCAAAGGACGUAAGUUUUCAAAGGUUUCCCUUUUUUCUACAAGGAGAAAAGUUAAUCCCUGGAGAAAACAGUAGACCCUUAUCAACCUGGAAAUUGUACCAGCAGAAUACACAUAGUAAAAUUUAACAACUAACCCUUAUCAUAUUAGUUUACCCUAUGUUUAUUCUCUCACAGUUGGUAAUUUCAAGGUUCUUUUUUACUUUCACUUCUCUAUAAAUGUUUUGUUAUUUUGCUAAAGUACUGUGUAAACUCAAGUUUUAACCAAACUUUUGAGUUAUUCAUCUCUGGAGACUCCCAUGUGUCAGAAGCAUGAUAUACUGUUGAUAAACUUUUGGUUCUUUUUCUGUUAAUCUCUUUUUUGUUAUAGUGGCCCCAGCUAAGAAUUUGGAAGGGUGAAAAGAAAGUUAUUUUUUCUCCCUUACACUGGUAAAAUGAUAGCUGCAAGGAUGUCUGUCACGGGACAAUAAAGUGAAAAAUUUACCAUUCACUAUCUCCAAACUAUUUAGAGGUAUAGGGAGGGCAUUGCUCACAUGAGGAUUGAACACCAGCUUCAGGGUCCCAGUUUGUUAAGGAAAUCGAAGGGUGUGAUCAACAGCUCGUGCACUGCCGUGCUGCGAACCCAGAGUUCAGGCACUGACGUGGCGCUUCUGAUGGGUAGGU